rnacentral:rRNA from 1 species
GUAUUGGCCUACCGUGGCAAUGACGGGUAACGGGGAAUUAGGGUUCGAUUCCGGAGAGGGAGCCUGAGAAACGGCUACCACAUCUAAGGAAGGCAGCAGGCGCGCAAAUUACCCAAUCCUAAUACAGGGAGGUAGUGACAAGAAAUAACAAUACAGGACUUUUUGGUUUUGUAAUUGGAAUGAGUUAAGUAUAAACCCCUUUACAAGUAUCAAUUGGAGGGCAAGUCUGGUGCCAGCAGCCGCGGUAAUUCCAGCUCCAAUAGCGUAUAUUAAAGUUGUUGCAGUUAAAAAGCUCGUAGUUGGAUUUCUGUUAAUAAUUUAUAUAUUAUACUUUUUAAGGUGUUUAUAUAAUAUUAACAUAAUUCAUAUUACUAUAUUUUUUUAGUAUAUGAAAUUUUACUUUGAGAAAAUUAGAGUGCUUAAAGCAGGCGUUAGCCUUGAAUACUCCAGCAUGGAAUAAUAUUAAAGAUUUUUAUCUUUCUUAUUGGUUCUAAGAUAAGAAUAAUGAUUAAUAGGGACAGUUGGGGGCAUUUGUAUUUAA